UACGUAGGGGGCGAGCGUUGUCCGGAUUUACUGGGCGUAAAGCGCGCGUAGGCGGACCUGCAAGUCGGGGGUGAAAGCCCGAGGCUCAACCUCGGAACUGCCUUCGAUACUGCGGGUCUCGAGUCCGGGAGAGGUGAGUGGAAUUCCUAGUGUAGAGGUGAAAUUCGUAGAUAUUAGGAAGAACACCAGUGGCGAAGGCGGCUCACUGGCCCGGUACUGACGCUGAGGCGCGAAAGCGUGGGGAGCAAACAGG
rnacentral:rRNA from 1 species